CAAACUGGAGGCUGAGGGCUCGCUCCUGCUGUGUGCCUGUGGAGAAGGAAGAGAAUGCCUUCAAGGAAGUUCCGAUCACCAAUCACCAGAGAUCACCACUCAGCAGAUAACCGGCCCUCAGCUGCUGUUGAUGCCCAGAAGUGAGACUGCCCAAGGGCUUAUCAGGAGUGAAAGAAACACGCGUGACCCCUUGGUUUCUCCUGAGAAACUGCUCCUGCCAAGCCCCUUAGCUCUGUAAAAACCCCUGCUUUCUUCUCUCGUUCAGGUGGAUUUGAGAGAACCUAUCCUCCCGCCUUCUCCGCCAAUUCGAAUAAACCUUUCUCCAUC
rnacentral:lncRNA from 1 species